rnacentral:misc_RNA from 1 species
GAUGAAGAACGUAGCGAAAUGCGAUAAGUAAUGUGAAUUGCAGAAUUCAGUGAAUCAUCGAAUCUUUGAACGCACAUUGCGCCCCUUGGUAUUCCGAGGGGCAUGCCUGUUCGAGCGUCAUUAUAACCCCUCAAGCUCAGCUUGGUGUUGGGGCCUGCCGCACGGGCAGCCCUUAAAAUCAGUGGCGGUGCCAUCUGGCUCUAAGCGUAGUAAUUCUUCUCGCUAUAGAGUCCCGGUGGAUGCUUGCCAUUAACCCCCAAUUUUUCUAUGGUUGACCUCGGAUCAGGUAGGGAUACCCGCUGAACUUAAGCAUAUCAAUAAGCGGAGGA